CACCUACGGGACGCAGCAGUGGGGAAUAUUGGGCAAUGGGCGCAAGCCUGACCCAGCAACGCCGCGUGAAGGAAGAAGGCUUUCGGGUUGUAAACUUCUUUUAAGGGGGAAGAGCAGAAGACGGUACCCCUUGAAUAAGCCACGGCUAACUACGUGCCAGCAGCCGCGGUAAUACGUAGGUGGCAAGCGUUGUCCGGAUUUACUGGGUGUAAAGGGCGUGCAGCCGGGACUGCAAGUCAGAUGUGAAAUCCGCGGG
rnacentral:rRNA from 1 species